UAAGGCCUCAUUUGGAGAUUGAAUUUUUGA
rnacentral:piRNA from 1 species